UGCAACAAGUGCCAACAGAAGGGUCACUAUGCCAACAAGUGUACCAACCAGAGGCGUCUUCCUCCUCCUCCUCCUGUCAGAUCGGCAAGUACAGCUGUGGUCAAGCAUAAUCCCAAGCACGCCAAGGUCAAUACGCUGAAUGCAGCUCAGGCUGAGGAUUCUUCAGAUGUCAUUAUGGGUAACCUUCCUAUUAAUGAUAUUCCUGCAAAAGUUCUUUUUGACACGGGUGCAUCGCAUUGUUUCAUGUCAAAGCCAUUUUUUACCAAGCAUGAGUUCGUUUCUUCUCAUUUGGGUAAACAUAUGGAUAUCAUUUCUCCUGGCAAACGUUUGAGCGCAAGUCUGGAGGUGCCAGAUGUCGCUAUCACGAUGGGCGAUUUCAAGUUUCUUGCUUCUCCUAUGGUUCUUGGUAACUCGGAUAUCGAUCUUAUUCUCGGGAUGGACUGGCUCUCUAAGCAUAAAGCUCAGCUUGAUUGUGCAGCCAGGCAGAUUCAACUGACUCAUUCGUCUGAGGAUGUCAUUGUCUUUGCCGCUCGGGAUAAUUCCAUCCGGUUGUUUUCUCUCAAUGAAAAGGGUGAAUUGGAUGCUAUUUCGCAGAUUCCGGUUGUUUGUGAGUAUCAAGACGUCUUUCCAGAAGAGCUCCCA
rnacentral:rRNA from 1 species